CAUUAUUCUCUAUGAUUCUUUAUUCUAUAUUUCUGUUUUUUUUACUAUCUGUUCUUUAUUUUGCACUUUUUGUCAUUAUUUUCUAUUCUUAAACCCCCAUCUUGAUUCCAGACCCUCAAAUAUACGUAAAUGUACGAAAGCUUGCAUGGUACGUCGAACACAAAACCCGGAAAUCUUUUCACCGUUACCGUUUUUAUACUAUGACGCAAAAUCCAUGGACGCUCACGCGAUCAUCUGUUGCUGUCUUUUUAAAAGUUUUUAAGAAUGGACAGAGAUAGAUGAUACAAGGAACUGGUGAAUCAAAAAUUUAUUAUAAACAGAUAAAUUGAAAUGGGUGACUUGUCGAUUAACUUGAAGAAACCAGGGAACGAAACAUAGAAAAUUUAUGAAACGAAAGUCAACGCAACGAAAGUCAAAGUGUUUUUGUUUUGAUGGAUAAUUUUACGUACCCUAAAAGCGCAACGAAAGCAUUUUCAAUGAAAGUACAUUUUGUACAUGUACUUCAACAGAACAGAAUUCAUUUGAGGCCUUGCUUUCUAGAUUAUAUAAUGGAUUCAUAGAUUGUCAUAUUGAUUUAUGUGCAUAAAAGGAGCAGUAGUCAAUGAAUAAUUUUGUGAUGAGAGCUUAUUACCAAUGUUCAUGGUUACCAAAUAAAAGGAAAGUGCAGUAUUAGAAUCACUGGUGUACAUGUAAAUGCGGAUGUCCGGCAAAAAGAACUGGUAUCAAAGAACUGAAAAGUAAAGAAACAGAACCAAAGAACAUUAAUUUUAGAUUAAAACAAAGCUCAAAG